AACGAACGCUGGCGGCAGGCCUAACACAUGCAAGUCGAACGCUCCGCAAGGGGAGUGGCGCACGGGUGAGUAACACGUGGGAACCUACCUUCUGGUACGGAACAACCAAGGGAAACUUUGGCUAAGACCGUAUACGACCUCCGGGUGAAAGAUUGAUCGCCGGAAGAGGGGCCCGCGUCCGAUUAGGUAGUUGGUGAGGUAACGGCUCACCAAGCCUUCGAUCGGUAGCUGGUCUGAGAGGAUGACCAGCCACACUGGGACUGAGACACGGCCCAGACUCCUACGGGAGGCAGCAGUGGGGAAUAUUGCGCAAUGGGCGAAAGCCUGACGCAGCGACGCCGCGUGAGGGAUGACGGCCUCGGUUG
rnacentral:rRNA from 1 species